UACGGAGGGUGCAAGCGUUAAUCGGAAUUACUGGGCGUAAAGCGCACGCAGGUGGCUGAGUCAGUCGAUUGUGAAAGCCCUGGGCUUAACCUGGGAAUUGCAGUCGAUACUACUCAGCUAGAGUAUGGGAGAGGGUAGUGGAAUUCCCGGUGUAGCGGUGAAAUGCGUAGAUAUCGGGAGGAACAUCAGUGGCGAAGGCGGCCUUCUGGUCCAGUACUGGACACUCAAGUGCGAAAAGCGUGGGGAGCAAACAGGG
rnacentral:rRNA from 1 species